GAUGAACGCUGGCGGCGUGCUUAACACAUGCAAGUCGAACGAUGAAGCCCAGCUUGCUGGGUGGAUUAGUGGCGAACGGGUGAGUAACACGUGAGUAACCUGCCCUUAACUCUGGGAUAAGCCUGGGAAACUGGGUCUAAUACCGGAUAGGAGCGCCUACCGCAUGGUGGGUGUUGGAAAGAUUUAUCGGUUUUGGAUGGACUCGCGGCCUAUCAGCUUGUUGGUGAGGUAAUGGCUCACCCAGGCGACGACGGGUAGCCGGCCUGAGAGGGUGACCGGCCACACUGGGACUGAGACACGGCCCAGACUCCUACGGGAGGCAGCAGUGGGGAAUAUUGCACAAUGGGCGCAAGCCUGAUGCAGCGACGCCGCGUGAGGGAUGACGGCCUUCGGGUUGUAAACCUCUUUCAGUAGGGAAGAAGCGAAAGUGACGGUACCUGCAGAAGAAGCACCGGCUAACUACGUGCCAGCAGCCGCCGUAACAC
rnacentral:rRNA from 1 species